rnacentral:rRNA from 1 species
CCCUUAGAUGUCCUGGGCUGCACGCGCGCUACAAUGGUACACGCAAUGAGGAUUUGACUAACUCGAGAGAGUUGGGUAUCUUGUAAUGUGUAUCGUGAUGGGGAUAGACCAUUGCAAUUGUUGGUCUUGAACGAGGAAUGCCUAGUAAGCGCGAGUCAUCAGCUCGCGCUGAUUACGUCCCUGCCCUUUGUACACACCGCCCGUCGCUCCUGCCAAUGGGUGGCAUGGUGAGAGGCACGUACUAGCCCCGACGGUUGAGCUAGGAACCGUCUCGAGCCGUUUCAUCUAAAGGAAGGAGAANUCGUANCA